GCGAAGUGUGAGGACAAGACAUAGCUACAAGCACCUCCCGGUUUCAAUGCUCGUCCCGGUUCAAGAGAGAAAGAUACUCAUGUGCGACAACUGGAGCCCUAGAAAGGAAGUUUCUCCUCACCAUCAGUGUUCAUCCUUGGUAGAAAGGUGAGGCAAGAUGAGAUCUCAGAGAGCCCUCCCUCUUCUGCCCCAUCUGCUACGGUGGGGAUAGAUACUCCCAUACAGGAAGUAGCAGAUCUUCACUGUUAAAGGAGGCACAACACACUGCAGUCCCUUGAGCCCAGGCGAAAAGACUUGCUACUUCUAAGGAAGCGACAGAAACAGGCACCUCUCUGCCUCUGGAGUUGGAAGGGAAACUGUCCAGGGCCCAGAACUCUUAGAAGGUAUCAAUCACACAAGGAGUAGCAAGAAAUGCUCUCCCACCUAAGAGCAAACACAGACACAAGGCAAGACAUAAGAGUCCAGCUGCCAAGGAAGGAGAGGGAAGCGUGCUGAGAAAACCUACUUCCAAGGCCUCCUUGAGUCUGAGACUCAACCGUCAGGAAGAAAAGCCUUUUACCCCUUCACAAGCCCAACAAUGGACGAGCAGGAAAGAGCAUUGCUGUGACCAGAGCAGGCAGGGCAGACACACCGGAGCACAGCACUCAGCACAGGAAGUACCAGCAAACAUUAGCCACUACCAGUAGAAGUUAAAAGUCUGCCAGCUCAGCAUCUGACUCCUCUCCCCCAACCUUCACACCAAUGGGAAAAAAAGCAAUGCGGCCAUUGGCAAGGAAAAAAAUACUACCAGCCUCAGUCUCUUACAUGUCUACCAUUUAAUAAAGAUGCAAGGAGAGGCAGUCCAUUGUCAAAUGAUCACAGGUACAGAGAGAUGAUAUAGAUACUGGAGCCAUUAUCAUGAUCAGACAUCUAACGGAAAAAAUAAACCAACAGAGACGAAAUAUUAGCAGAGAGUCCAGAACUAUUAAAAUGGAACGUCACAGGGCUGAAAAGAUGGCUCAGCACAUGAAGGAACCUGCCAUCAAGCCUGCAAUCUAAGAACAGCCUACCAAAAGUUGUCCUCUGACCACAACAUACACAAACAAAUAAAUAGACAAGCAUAAAAAAAUUAUGAACCAUUGAACAGAAACACUAGAAUUAAUAUAAAAGACAGUGUUAGAGACCAAGACUAUUACGCUGGAUGUAGUGAUAGAUUUACAGAGUUCCAAACUAGAAUACAGAGCAAAACUAAGGAAAAUGUGAAUUUUAAAAAGAGCCACAACUGUAGAGCAAUACCAAAUGUCUAACAUGCAACUUUAAUUCAGAAAGAAAAAUUGGAAUGACUAAAACCAAAAAAGCCAAAUUUCUCCAAAAUUAAAAACACCAAGCCACAAACCCAAGAGCCAUCAAAGAUGACAAGCAGAAACCUCCUCAAAAAACAAUGAACAAAACACUUUCUUGUCCAGCUGUUAGAAAAUAACAGUGUCUUAAAGAGAUAUUAUCUGUAGAGAAAGUUUAAAAAAGAUCAGUGUAACAAUUUAUAAUUUAAAACCAAAAAAAAAAAAAAAAGAACCUGGAAUCUUCACAGGCCUGGUGGCUUUGGCUAAUUAUAAACUGAGACAGGAAGGUCAUGAGUUCAAGGCCAGUGUGGGCUCCAGAGUGAGCUCCUGUUUCAAAAAGAGAAAAAUUAGUUGUAAACUUCAUCUCACCGACUCAUGAUGUUGUGGUUCGGUAUUUCCAGAGAGCAUUUUUCCAGAUAGAGGAUAAAUAUUAAGGAAACUGCUCCCAUCCUCUGGUGGGGUUUUGUUUGUUUAUAGUUCCUGAAUCUUUUUUUUUUUUUUUUGAACUAUCACUAUGUAGCCUAGGCUAGCCUUGAACUCACAAUCUCCCCCUUGCCUUAGUCUCACAGACACUGGGACUACAGACAUGGAACAACAGGCUUGGGUGUCUUGGCUAACAUUACCAUCUUAUGGUGCAGAAGGAGAGACAAACAUUCAUUAAGCACUCCCCACCCAGGAGACUUUACUUUGUACCUGACAGAAUGGGUAAUUGUUUUUUAAAAACACAGUCUUAAAUUUCAACAUAUUUUUAAACUAACUCCAUGAAGAUUUUCAUUCUUACAUUCUCUACCUUUUGUUUUGUAGAAACAGAUAUUAAGAUAAGCACUUGUAGGGCCAACUCUACCCUCAGCAAAGUAGCACCACUGAUCCUCCCCACCUACCGAGUUUUACAGAUUGUAAUCUCCAACACGUUAUCUCGCUUUCUGCAAUUUCGUGAGUACUUUGUCUUUCCCUCCACAGAUUUUCAAUUAUUCACAAUAAAGUCUUUGACAUAUGCCCACAUUGAAUCGGCCUUCAUGCUUAUGAUUCAUGUGGUGGUUUGAAUAAGAAUUGUUCCCAUAGGCACAGGUACUUGAGUGCUUUAUCAUUGAGGAAGUGGCAAUACUUGAGAAGGAUUAGGAGGUGUGGCCUUGCUGGAGGAGGUGUGGCCUUGCUGGAGGAGGUGUGUCACUGGGAGUGAGCUUUGAGAUUUCAAAAGCCUAAGCCAGGCCCAGUAUCUCAAUUCUUCUUGCUGCCUGCAGAUCCAGUUACAGGACUGCCAUCUACUUCUCCAGCACAUACAUGUCAACCAGUGUGCUGCCAUGUUUCCCACCAUGAUAAUAAUGGACUAAUCUUUGAAACUGUAAGAAAGCCUCAAUUAAAUGCUUUCCCUUAUAAAAGUUGCCUUGGUCGUGGUGUCUCUUAACAGCAAUAGAACACUAAGACAAGCUAACAUGCUUGGGGGUUGGGAGUCUUGAGUUUGGAUGUAUGUCAAGCAUAUGGCAAUAGGACUCAAGUCUAAACACAUUUCAUAUUCACCUUAGACAUACAUCCUGGAGGUUAUUUUAUAUAAUAAUUUUGGCUGCUUGUUGUCACAGAAGAUAAGGUACAGCAUCUUGUGGCCUCAGGUGAUACUCAAAAGAUUCUGAUCUGUAGACUCUUGGGUUUCAGUGCUUUCUUUCGAACUAGAGGUAUUUUGUAUUGUUUUGCUCUCUAAUAGCUCCCACACAUAUAAAUGUGUGCUAAAACUCUCAGCUACUGGUGUUAAUAUCAUGGAAAGACCUGUCACAUCAGGCUUUGUUCUGAUACUUUUAGGUCUCAGGUCCGAAAAGAGGGAACCUGCAACUAAAACACAGAAUUCAUCACUGGGCCUUACAAAGGCCCCACCCACUCACUUCCUAAACUUCACUUUUCUGGCCCUUAUCAUCCUAAUCCACGGCCAGCUCUAGAGUCCGUCAUCUACUUACCUUUCUGGUUCCUCACCCACUGCUUUAUUCUCCCAUUUGAUGAUUGAUUGAUUGAUUGAUUGAUUGACUGAUUGAUUGAUUUUAUGUAUGUGAGUACACUGUCACUGUCUUCAGUCACACCAGAAGAGGGCAUCAGAUUCCAUUACAGAUGGUUGUGAGCCACCAUGUGGUUGCUGGGAAUUGAACUCAGGACCUCUGGAAAGAGCAGUCAGUGCUCUUAUCCACUGAGCCAUCUCUCCAGCCUUUAUUCUCCCAUUUGAUGCCUCUUAGAUACUGUGAUCUCUGAGACCUUAUUUAGGUGUUUCAAGACACUGUACCAUAAACCACACACCUGGUUCUAAUUCAAGCCCCAAGGCUAAGGCUCUGGACAAGAAGUGAUCUUUUUUUUUUAAAUAUGUAUUUCAUGUAUGUGUGUGUUUGUAUGUCUCUGUGUCUGUAUGUGAGUAUCUGUGCAUACGUGCAGGUGCCUAUGUAUAUUAGAAGGGAGUAGAGAUCACCUGAAGCUAGAGCUACAGGCAGUUUUGAUCCACUCCAUGUGGGUUCUAGAAGCCAAACUUGAGUCUCCUAUAAGAGCAGUAUUAUGCAGCUCUUCACCACUGAGCCAUCUCUCAAUCUUUACUUUACUUUAAGACAGGGUCUUACUAUGUAGCACGGACAGGCAUGAAACUUGCUGUGUUGACCAGGCUGCCCUCAAACUUGUAACAGUUCUCUUGUCUACACCACCUCCAGGCUGGGAUUAUAGGUGUGUGCCAUCGCAUUUAGCAAAAGGUAAUCUUAAAAUGUAUGAAAGGGGGCUGGACCUGAUGGUUCAAUCGUUAAGAGCACUGGCAGUUCUUCCAGAGGACCGGGGUUCAAUUCCCAGCACCCACAGGGCAGCUCACGACUCUCUGUAACUAUAGUUCUAAGGUAUCUGACAACUUCAUACCAAUGUACAUAAAGUAAAACUAAAUUAUUUUUUUAA
rnacentral:lncRNA from 1 species